UUCAGUUUCUCCAAUAUUCUUAUAAAUAACUUCUUCAUAUUUUACAAAUUUAAUCAAGGAUUUGAUCCAAUCCCACUAAAAAACUAUUUUGUACCAACUCUUCAAAGUCCUUUCACCUUUCCUAGCUCCAGGGAAGAAUAAGCUCAGUCCUUACUCAGCCUGUCUGUUGCUGAGUUUGUUCACAGACAUCUUCCUUACUUGAGUAGAUUGCUAAAGAAAUCAAGAAGUCUAGUUGUAAGCCACUUGUGCAAUUCACAGUGGCAUCUGCAUCAAGCCGAGGAGCGCGAUAAACAAGAGACGGCCACAGACAUAAAGGCAAGCAGAUUACAAACUACAAUUUCAAUCCUUGCCAGUUUUAUUGCGCCUGGCUGGCUUGGACCAUUGCCAGUUUCAUUACCAAUGAUCAGCAGCUUCCUUCAUCAUGUCCCUAUGAUGUUUUAUCCAAGAAGAGCCCCUUCCUUGUAUAAAGCAAAUCACCAAAACCACCACGUGAUGCUCCAAGUUACUUAUUUGAAACAAGCAAAACAUCAAGCUGGCUGCAUAUGACAAGUCCAAAACAUCAAUAGCUUGACUGGAAAAUCUGCCAGGUAAAGCAAUUAAAGUAGAAUUGAAUUGCAAAAGCAAGCAGUUCUUUCAACAGGCAUAUCCUCUACUAGAGACGCCUCUCCUCAGCUUCAAUCCUUUCUUUACCCACUGGUUUAAGUAUUGCAAAAAUAGCACAUAUAACCCUAAGUGAACCAUUUACCAAAACCAAGAUGACGAUAUUACAUUCAAAGGAUUCCACAAUAAUGUUAUCUCUUAUAAGAAAGAAAUGGUAACCUGAUUGGAAAACUUGUUUCUCUCUUCCAGAGUUUUCAGAGUACCAUAUCUUUUGUCUUUCAUUUCUAAUAACUCUCAUGGCCUGGGAAGAUUAUAUAUCAGGCACUUUGAUUAAUUAAUUAAUAGCAGUUCAAUUCAAGUUGUUCCAGACUCCGUGACCAAUCAGACUCAAUAUUAAGCUGGGAAAAAAAAAUUAAGCGAUUCAAGCAGGGACUUGAAUGCAUUCUUUGCUUCCUACAGUUUGAUUUUUUUUAAGGAAUAUAAGCUGCAUUCACAAAAGUAAAUGAGUUUCUCAUUCCUAAUUAACUUCUGUAGUAGGAUGAACAAGUGCCACUUACCUCAGACAUUGUUCACACUGUAAAGUGCAGAGAAAGAAUUAGAUCACUGGGCAAUAUUGGUAUUGUGGGGUUCAAAGAUAUUUCUAUUCACAUAGUUUAUACCUCUUAAAAGAAGUUGGUCUCAGAUGUAUAUCCAAAUCUGAGAUUUUGCUAUUCUUUUGUUCUACAUGCUGGAUAUCUACUUCA
rnacentral:lncRNA from 1 species